GAUCAUGGCUCAGAUUGAACGCUGGCGGCAGGCCUAACACAUGCAAGUCGAACGGUAACAGGAAGAAGCUUGCUUCUUUGCUGGCGAGCGGCGGACGGGUGAGUAAUGUCUGGGAAACUGCCUGAUGGAGGGGGAUAACUACUGGAAACGGUAGCUAAUACCGCAUAACGUCGCAAGACCAAAGAGGGGGACCUUCGGGCCUCUUGCCAUCGGAUGUGCCCAGAUGGGAUUAGCUAGUAGGG
rnacentral:rRNA from 1 species